rnacentral:misc_RNA from 1 species
GCGAACUGCGAUAAGUAAUGUGAAUUGCAGAAUUCAGUGAAUCAUCGAGUCUUUGAACGCACAUUGCGCCCCCUGGCAUUCCGGGGGGCAUGCCUGUCCGAGCGUCAUUGCUGCCCAUCAAGCCCGGCUUGUGUGUUGGGUCGUCGUCCCCCCCGGGGGACGGGCCCGAAAGGCAGCGGCGGCACCGUGUCCGGUCCUCGAGCGUAUGGGGCUUUGUCACCCGCUCGACUAGGGCCGGCCGGGCGCCAGCCGACGUCUCCAACCAUUUUUCUUCAGGUUGACCUCGGAUCAGGUAGGGAUACCCGCUGAACUUAAGC